rnacentral:lncRNA from 1 species
AUGAGAGUUGACACUGAGUGGGCCUUCUUCACAAUACCUGCUUUUGACUGGUUGGUUCGAGUUGCAGUCUUCUUAAGCCAAUAUCCAACACCAUCACUCAAGUCAAACAGUAAAUGCAGCCGACAAUCUGUGGACCUGGGUGAUUGUAUAUUGUGCUGUCAUGCCUGUGGCAUCAUCAAUAGCAGCUCUCAACAUGGAGCCCCUUUAAACAGGAUAAAAAUGACAAAGAUAACUAUAGUUAAAAAGUGGAGCAAGAAAAAAUGGAAUGAAGUUGGAGUAACUGCAUGCCUUGAAUUGGGCCACAAAUCUGGCCUGGAGCUUCCUAGCAGCCCAUAA